rnacentral:rRNA from 1 species
GGAUUACGUACCCUGGUAGUCCACGCCGUAAACGAUGAGUGCUCCUAGUUGUGCCGCGUUCGGCCUUCGGUGACGCACGUAACGCGUUAAGCACUCCGCCUGGGGAGUACGGCCGCAAGGUUAAAACUUAAAGGAAUUGACGCGAACCCGCACAAGCGGUGGCGCAUGCGGCUUUAAUCCGUAUACUACGCGUAAAAGCUUACCAGCUCUUGUCAAACAGGUGUUGCAUGGCUGUCGUCAGCCCGUGUCGUAAGAUGUUUGGUUAACUCCUUUAACGGGCGUAACCCUUACCGUCCCGGGGACCGCUAUUAAAGCAAUAGAGGAAGAUAAGGACCACGCCAAGUCGUCAUGGCCCUCAUGAGCUGGGCUACACAUGUGCUACAAAGCCGCACACAACGAGAUGCGAUGAGGCGACUCGGAGCAACCUUUAACGUGCGGCCUAGUUCGGAUUGUUCCCUGAAACUCGGGAGCAUAAAGGCGUAAUCGCUAGUAAUCGCGUAUCAUUACGGCGCGGUGAAUAGGAGUCCGGGUUUU